rnacentral:tRNA from 1 species
GGGGAUGUAACUCAGUGGUAGAGAGUGCUUGUCUACCAUGCACAAGGCUCUGAGUUCAAUCCCCAGUACCACCA